UACGUAGGCAGCAAGCGUUGUUCGGAAUUACUGGGCGUAAAGAGUGUGUAGGUGGUGCUCUAAGUUUGGUGUGAAAUCUCCCGGCUCAACUGGGAGGGUGCGCCGAAUACUGAAUGACUUGGAGUGCGGGAGAGGAAAGUGGAAUUCCUGGUGUAGCGGUGAAAUGCGUAGAUAUCAGGAGGAACACCGGUGGUGUAGACGGCUUUCUGGACCGUAACUGACGCUGAGACACGAAAGCGUGGGUAGCAAACAGG
rnacentral:rRNA from 1 species